rnacentral:rRNA from 1 species
AUUGAACGCUGGCGGCAGGCUUAACACAUGCAAGUCGAACGAGUGGCGGACGGGUGAGUAAUGUAUGGGGAUCUGCCCGAUAGAGGGGGAUAACUACUGGAAACGGUGGCUAAUACCGCAUACUAUCGGAUGAACCCAUAUGGGAUUAGCUAGUUGGUGAGGUAAAGGCUCACCAAGCCGACGAUCUCUAGCUGGUCUGAGAGGAUGACCAGCCACACUGGUACUGAGACACGGCCCAGGCUCCUACGGGAGGCAGCAGUGGGGAAUAUUGCGCCAUGGGGGCAACCCUGACGCAGCCAUGCCGCAUGAAUGAAGAAGGCCUUCGGGUUGUAAAGUUCUUUCGGUAGCGAGGCGUUAACUACAGAAGAAGCACCGGCUAACUCCGUGCCAGCAGCCGCGGUAAUAC